GAAAAACCAUCAGCGGCAACAAAUGGAGUGCACUCUCACGAUCGUGUCAGCUGCCCCCCGCUCACGGCCGCAGAGGCCGGCAUAAUAACAGCAGCAGCAGCACCUGCAGGGUCUUUUUUCCAUGAACUCCUGAACACAAACACCUGGGGGAUACGAUCAUACGGUCACGUGAUCAUUCUCUACUCGAUGCUAUGACGAGGAUUAUCUGACACAGCCUGGAUCUGGAGCGUACAACAACAAUAGCAACCUGCCUCUCCGUCGAAUCAAACCCACAAUGCACCUGCUGUAAGUCAGACCUCAGCACAUUCACUCAGACGAGCCUGGAGGAAGGCAACAUGUUGUUCCUGUAGGAGUGGCCUGCUGGAGAAGGAGUGAAAUGCAUUGAAUAAAAGGUU